rnacentral:rRNA from 1 species
GAUGAACGCUGGCGGCGUGCCUAAUACAUGCAAGUCGAGCGAACAGACGAGGAGCUUGCUCCUCUGACGUUAGCGGCGGACGGGUGAGUAACACGUGGAUAACCUACCUAUAAGACUGGGAUAACUUCGGGAAACCGGAGCUAAUACCGGAUAAUAUAUUGAACCGCAUGGUUCAAUAGUGAAAGACGGUUUUGCUGUCACUUCUAGAUGGAUCCGCGCCGCAUUAGCUAGUUGGUAAGGUAACGGCUUACCAAGGCAACGAUGCGUAGCCGACCUGAGAGGGUGAUCGGCCACACUGGAACUGAGACACGGUCCAGACUCCUACGGGAGGCAGCAGUAGGGAAUCUUCCGCAAUGGGCGAAAGCCUGACGGAGCAACGCCGCGUGAGUGAUGAAGGUCUUCGGAUCGUAAAACUCUGUUAUUAGGGAAGAACAAAUGAGUAAGUAACUAUGCACGUCUUGACGGUACCUAAUCAGAAAGCCACGGCUAACUACGUG